CUUCUGACUUAUAGGGUAUCUUUGUUACUAGGGUUCAGCCUGAUGGACCAGCAUCAAACCUACUGCAGCCUGGUGAUAAGAUCCUUCAGGCAAAUGGACACAGUUUUGUACAUAUGGAACAUGAAAAAGCUGUAUUACUACUGAAGAGUUUCCAGAACACAGUAGACCUAGUUAUUCAACGUGAGCUUACUGUCUAAAUAUUUUUUAUAAGUAGUGAAGAUACGUCUAGCCAGACUUAAUGUUCAAAAAUAAAUUUAUACAUAGAAACAAAUUUUGCCAAUUGCUGGACCAAUGGCAAACAUUAGUGCCAAAUGUAUAAUACUAUAUGGUAGCACUGAUCAUCCUUAAAAAUGUUAACUCUAUAAAUAGAUGUUCAUGUGGUUAUGUAUUUGUUUUAACUGUCAGCCUUUGGCUGUGCAUUGGUGCAGUUUUGUUUUUGAUUUUUAAGCAAAUAAGUUUCUUCUCAAAGUGAAUUUCAUAUAAUUUCAGAGCACGGAAGCACACACAAGCUCUUUACGAAUUCUGCUCUCCAUCAAAAACACUGCCUCAAAGUUGUAUAUGCCUUUAUAUAGAAAAUACAAAUAUAAAGAAUUGUAAUUCCCAUAAAAUAUUUCUAGCACAAGGUAUAUGUUGGCAUAUAUACAAAAAGAAUAUAGAGAAAAACAAUAUUUUCAUAAACUAAACAUCUCGGACUGAGAAAGAAAAUAUAUCUUAAAAUAAGACUUUACUAUAUUAAAUCUUUUUCAAUAAAAAUUACAUGAUAAUGCCUUAUGGAAGUAACUGUACAUAUGGUAUAAAGUGUUUAUAUUUGGUUCCAUAUUCAUUUGCUAAAUUCUCAUAACACAGAGUGAAAUAUUUCAUAAAUGAGUCACUUACUCUGGGACUCGAGAAUAACAAUAGGAUGAACAAAUUUGUUCAAUACCUUUAGCUAAUUACAACACAUGCAGAGUCUAGAAACAGACUAAAGGUCGUUGUAGAUAAGUCUUUUUCACCACAAAUUAAAGCAGUGGAUGAUGGGUGGCAGGAAAGUUGUCGCUUUAUUUUUUUCAGAUUUUCAUGUUGAUUAUAAACUGUAGCCCCUGUGGUUUCUUCACUUGUAAAUGUGGAAUUUAUUUGUGUGCUGCUAAUUUGCUACUUUUAAACCAUUUAAAAUGAGUUUUGGAAAUUGAUAAAAUUUAUCAUUAAGAAAGAUUGUUGUUAGAAAGUUACAGUGGGUGAUUUUAAAACUUUGGUAUUUAAAUAUGAAACUUCAAAUAUAAUUUCUCAGAGCUGUGGUCUAUAUGUAUCGUUAAUUUUAAGGCCUGUUUUUGUGGGCAGAAAUAGAUAACAUUUUUUUCCCCCAAAAGUGUUUCAGGCUGUAUAAAAUUUGAAAUGCUUUCUCACUGGAGAAAAGAACAAGCAUAGUUAAUGUAGAAUUAUUUGCUUUUCCAUUGAAACUGUUUUCCUCUAUGGAUGAUCAAAACUCAUUUUAUAAUCCUUUUAAAAUUUUCUCUUUUUAUAUUAGUCAUUAAUUUGGUCAAAUGUUAAUUUGAAAUUCCAGAAAAAUUUCCUGGAAUUAGUUGCAUGCAUUCUUUCCCAUAUUUUCACAUAGUUCUUUUGUUAUAUAACAAGUUUACAUGCUAGUAUUUCAAGUAUUCUAUUAGGAUUUUCACGAUAGCAUCACAUGUUGAUGUCACCCAAGCUCUGAGAAUAAUAUUUGUAAGUUAACUGUUUUAUGGGGGACAUUGAAAAUAUUGUAUUUUUGUAGGGUCUAUUAAAAUGAGUGUCACUUAUUAGAAGUACGGUAGUAUUUUUUGGCAAUAGAAUUUGUCACUUGAAGGCCAAUGAUGCUUCAACUUUAUAGACGAUGCACUAAUUUUGAUGUUGCUUUAUGCCAGGGUGACAUUAUACCAUGAUUUUAUAGGGCUUAACAAUUAGCUAAUGAUUAAAUGAUUGCCCUAUUUA